rnacentral:rRNA from 1 species
UACGUAGGGUGCGAGCGUUAAUCGGAAUUACUGGGCGUAAAGCGUGCGUAGGUGGUUCGUUGUGUCUGUGGUGAAAGCCCCGGGCCUAACCUGGGAAUGGCCAUGGAAACUGGCGAGCUGGAGUGUGGCAGAGGGGGGUGGAAUUCCGCGUGUAGCAGUGAAAUGCGUAGAGAUGCGGAGGAACACCGAUGGCGAAGGCAGCCCCCUGGGCUAACACUGACGCUGAGGCACGAAAGCGUGGGGAGCAAACAGG